rnacentral:rRNA from 1 species
AUUGAACGCUGGCGGAAUGCUUUACACAUGCAAGUCGAACGGUAGAGGGGGCAACCCCUUGAGAGUGGCGAACGGGUGAGUAAUAUAUCGGAACGUGCCCAGUCGUGGGGAUAACGUAGCGAAAGUUACGCUAAUACCGCAUACGAUCUAAGGAUGAAAGCGGGGGAUCGCAAGACCUCGCGCGAUUGGAGCGGCCGAUAUCAGAUUAGGUAGUUGGUGGGGUAAAGGCUCACCGAGCCAACGAUCUGUAGCUGGUCUGAGAGGACGACCAGCCACACUGGAACUGAGACACGGUCCAGACUCCUACGGGAGGCAGCAGUGGGGAAUUUUGGACAAUGGACGCAAGUCUGAUCCAGCCAUUCCGCGUGCAGGAUGAAGGCCCUCCGGUGUAAACUGCUUUGUACGGAACGAAACGGUGAGCUCUAAUACAGUUUGCUAAUGACGGUACCGUAAGAAUAAGCACCGGCUAACUACGUGCCAGCAGCCGCGGUAAA